UACUGAAGGUCCGAGCGUUAAUCGGAAUCACUGGGCUUAAAGCGUACGCAGGCGGAUUUGUAGGUAUUUUGUGAAAUCCCACGGCUCAACCGUGGAACUGCAGAGUAAACCACAAAUCUUGAGACAAGUAGGGGUCAGUGGAACUAUGAGUGGAGCGGUGAAAUGCGUAGAUAUUCAUGGGAACGCCAAUGGCGAAGGCAACUGACUGGGCUUGUUCUGACGCUCAGGUACGAAAGCGUGGGUAGCGAACGGGAUUAGAUACCCCGGUAGUCCACGCCGUAAACGAUGCACACUAGGUCGCGGAGCCUCUCAUGGUCUCGCGGCCGAAGGUAAACUGAUUAGUGUGCCGCCUGGGGAGUACGGUCGCAAGGCUAAAACUCAAAGGAAUUGACGGGGGCUCACACAAGCGGUGGAGCAUGUUGCUUAAUUCGAGGCAACGCGAAGAACCUUACCUAGACUUGACAUGUAUGGAUUAGUUCCUGGAAAACAGGAAUGACGCCCUUGGGUGGAACAUACACAGGUGCUGCAUGGCUGUCGUCAGCUCGUGCUGUGAAGUGUCGGGUUAAGUCCCUUUAACGAGCGCAACCCCUAUCGUUAGUUACUAACGCGUCAUGGCGAGGACUCUAGCGAGACUGCCGGUGUCAAACCGG
rnacentral:rRNA from 1 species